GAAUUUUGGACAAUGGGGGAAACCCUGAUCCAGCCACCCCGCGUGUACGAUGAAGGCCUUCGGGUUGUACAGUACUCUUGGCAGAGAAAAAAAGGUAGCUCCUAAUACGAGGUACUGCUGACGGUAUCUGCAGAAUAAGCACCGUCUAACUACGUGCCAGCAGCCGCGGUAAUACGUAGGGUGCAAGCGUUAAUCGGAAUUACUGGGCGUAAAUCGAGUGUAGGCGGUUCGGAAAGAAAGAUGUGAAAUCCCAGGGCUCAACCUUGGAACUGCAUUUUUAACUGCCGAGCUAGAGUAUGUCAGAGGGGGGUAGAAUUCCACGUGUAGCAGUGAAAUGCGUAGAUAUGUGGAGGAAUACCGAUGGCGAAGGCAGCCCCCUGGGAUAAUACUGACGCUCAGACACGAAAGCGUGGGGAGCAAAC
rnacentral:rRNA from 1 species